GAGAGAAAGAAUGAGUGUGGAUUUUGGAGAAUGAAGAAGAAGCCAUUGCUGCCAUGGGAUGGAGUGUGGAGAUGAAAGGUAGUUAGUUGAAGUCUGUCUGUCACUCACUUUGUCUUCUUGACUAACAGAUCAUUACCAGACGCCACAAAUCUCACUCCAAAAUUGGACACGCUUCAAUUAUUAUUUGUUUUCUAAAUAAAUAUCUUUUUGGCUAUAGAUGAAAUGGCAUAGAGUGGAAUGGAACGGAACGGUAAGUAAUU
rnacentral:lncRNA from 1 species